GUCCAACUUGAGAGGGAGACCACGCCUGGCACUGCCUGGAUGGCCAAGAAUUAAAGGCUGAAGAGCCCACAGACCUAGAAUAGAACCAAACAUGAAUGGCCAAAAAAGAAAAAAAAGUCAAUGAAAUGAUUCCUAAUGAUAUUCUGGCACAGAUUGAAGCUUAGCCAAACAUGAAUUGAUGGAGCUUGGGGAACCCACAGAAGAAGGAGAAGAAGGAUAUUAGAAGUCAGAAGGAAUGGAGGCCAUCAGGAGAACAUAGCCAACUGAAUCAACUAAGUAGAACUCACAGAGACUGAAGCAACAACCAAAAAUCCUGUAUGGGUCUGAGCAAAACAUGCAAAUCAUGUUAAGAAAGAAGAGCAAUCCCCAAAAUUCCUGACAGACACAGACUCACAGUGCUGCUGUACCAGUUCACAGGGACCAGAGUGCUGGCAAACGGCUGAAACUGCAUUACAAAGAGGUUUACAGGUCUCUGAAAAGCCCAACAAAUGCACCUUAUACUCUUAUGGUAUAAAGCUGCCUUGUUAGCGCCUCAUACUUCGUCAGAAACUGUGUUUUGAAGCCUCUGCAAAAGUGCGAUGUCCCAAAGCUGCUGCUUACCCAGU